CACGUAGGGUGCGAGCGUUGUCCGGAAUUAUUGGGCGUAAAGAGCUCGUAGGCGGUGUGUCGCGUCGGCCGUGAAAACUUGGGGCUCAACCCCGAGCUUGCGGUCGAUACGGGCAUCACUAGAGUUCGGCAGGGGAGACUGGAAUUCCUGGUGUAGCGGUGAAAUGCGCAGAUAUCAGGAGGAACACCGGUGGCGAAGGCGGGUCUCUGGGCCGAUACUGACGCUGAGGAGCGAAAGCGUGGGGA
rnacentral:rRNA from 1 species